AAUAAUUUCUGGUAAAUUAAUAGUUAUUUACGAUACAAGUGCGAAAAAUAGGAAAUUCGAAACGAGUGGCGAUAAAUUAAAACACGACCGAAGGGAGUUGUUUUAAAUUGACACGAGUUGGGAAUUACCUAUUCGCACAUGUAUCGUACAACGUUUUACAGUACAACAUAUUGCCCUUUAAAUUUUCGACAUAGUUGCGUAAUGUACUAAUUAUAGCACUAGUGCG